ACGGAUAUAUCACGUUGAAACACUGGUCCCCGUACGAUCAGCGAACUUAAGCGACGUUGAGCCCGGUCAGUACCUAGUUGGGUGACCGCUUGGAAAUACCAGAUGCUGUAAG